rnacentral:rRNA from 1 species
AGAGAGAGACAUGCGCGCAUAUCAAUAAGCGGAGGAAAAGAAACUAACUAGGAUUCCCUCAGUAACGGCGAGUGAAGCGGGAAGAGCUCAAAUUUGAAAUCUUAAAGGGUUUCCCUUGACGAAUUGUAGUUUAAAGAAGUGUUUUCUGUUGGAGUUUUGGUAAAAGUUCUUUGGAAUAGGACAUCAUAGAGGGUGAGAAUCCCGUAUUUGACCAUUACUUUCCAACUUUGUGAUACACUUUCAAAGAGUCGGAUUGUUUGGGAAUGCAGUCCAAAAUGGGUGGUAAAUUUCAUCUAAAGCUAAAUAUUGGCGAGAGACCGAUAGCGAACAAGUACCGUGAGGGAAAGAUGAAAAGAACUUUGAAAAGAGAGUUAAACAGUACGUGAAAUUGUCAAAAGGGAAGCGUUUGACACCAGUGUUGUUUUCUCGAAAAUCAAUUAAAAAAGGCAGGAUUUUGUGUUGUAUUGACUUUAUCAGCUUUCUGCACUCUUUUCUUGUCUUUUUUAAUGCACUUUUCGUUUAACAAGUCAACAUCAAUUUCUUUUGUUGUAAAAGGGUCAUUGGAAGGUGGCUUUCUUUUCGGAGAAAGUGUUUAUAGCCUUUGGCCUCUGCAAUCGGAGAGAUUGAGGUCUGCAGCGUAGAUCCUUCGGGGUUAGAUACAUUUGUGCUAAGUUAUAGCCUUUCAUAGACAACUUGUUGACUAUGAUCAGUCAUGUAGCUUACUCGCUUAUGCUAUUUUACCUACGCUUAGGAUGUUGAUGUGAUACUGCGAGCA